UCCGGCUUAUCACCGGCAGUUUUCCUAGAGUUCUCAGCCUAACCUGUUAGCAACAAGGAAUGAGGGUUGCGCUCGUUGCGGGACUUAACCCAACAUCUCACGACACGAGCUGACGACAGCCAUGCAGCACCUGUGCAUCUCCCACCCGAAGUGAAGGCUUCCUUUUCGGGAAGCCAUAGAGAGCAUGUCAAGGCCUGGUAAGGUUCUUCGCGUUGCCUCGAAUUAAACCACAUGUUCCACCGCUUGUGCGGGUCCCCGUCAAUUUCUUUGAGUUUUAAUCUUGCGACCGUACUCCCCAGGCGGGGUGCUUAACGCGUUAGCUACGCCACCGAGACCUAAGGCCCCAACGGCUAGCACCCAUCGUUUACAGCGUGGACUAC
rnacentral:misc_RNA from 1 species